AUGCUCGCUUCGUCAGCACACUUACUAAAAUUGGAACGAUACAGAGACCAUUAGCAUGGACCCUGUGCAAGGAAGUUCUGCAAAUUCGUGAAGCGUUCUUUUU
ensembl:snRNA U6 U6 spliceosomal RNA